rnacentral:rRNA from 1 species
CAGUCGCCGCGGGAAUACGUAGGGUGCAAGCGUUGUCCGGAAUCAUUGGGCGUAAAGCGCGCGUAGGUGGCCAUUUAAGUCCGCUGUGAAAGUCAAAGGCUCAACCUUUGAAAGCCGGUGGAUACUGGAUGGCUAGAGUACGGAAGAGGCGAGUGGAAUUCCUGGUGUAGAGGUGAAAUUCGUAGAUAUUCGGAAGAACACCAGUGGCGAAGGCGGCUCACUGGCUCAUUCUAGACGCUGAGGUGCGAAAGCGUGGGGAGCAAACAGGAUUAGAUACCCGCGUAGUCCCUGUCUCUUAUAC